rnacentral:rRNA from 1 species
CCUACGGGUGGCUGCAGUGAGGAAUAUUGGUCAAUGGGCGGGAGCCUGAACCAGCCAAGCCGCGUGAGGGAAGAAGGUACAGCGUAUCGUAAACCUCUUUUGUCAGGGAACAAAGGCGGGGACUAGUCCCCGGAUGAGGGUACCUGAAGAAAAAGCAUCGGCUAACUCCGUGCCAGCAGCCGCGGUAAUACGGAGGAUGCGAGCGUUAUCCGGAUUUAUUGGGUUUAAAGGGAGUGUAGGCGGUUUAGUAAGAUAGUGGUGAAAUCCCAGAGCUUAACUUUGGAAUUGCCAUUAUAACUAUUAGACUAGAAUUACAGAGAGGAUAGUGGAAUACCCAGUGUAGAGGUGAAAUUCGUAGAUAUUGGGUAGAACACCAGUGGCGAAGGCGACUAUCUGGCUGUACAUUGACGCUGAGGCUCGAAAGCAUGGGGAUCAAACAGGAUUAGAUACCCCGGUAGUC